UCUACGGGUGGCUGCAGUGGGGAAUAUUGGACAAUGGGCGAAAGCCUGAUCCAGCCAUGCCGCGUGUGUGAAGAAGGCCUUCGGGUUGUAAAGCACUUUCAGUGGGGAAGAAAGCCUUGGGGCUAAUACCCUCGAGGAAGGACAUCACCCACAGAAGAAGCACCGGCUAACUCCGUGCCAGUAGCCGCGGUAAUACGGAGGGUGCGAGCGUUAAUCGGAAUUACUGGGCGUAAAGCGCGCGUAGGCGGUCUGAUAAGCCGGUUGUGAAAGCCCCGGGCUCAACCUGGGAACGGCAUCCGGAACUGUCAGGCUAGAGUGCAGGAGAGGAAGGUAGAAUUCCCGGUGUAGCGGUGAAAUGCGUAGAGAUCGGGAGGAAUACCAGUGGCGAAGGCGGCCUUCUGGACUGACACUGACGCUGAGGUGCGAAAGCGUGGGUAGCAAACAGGAUUAGAUACCCGUGUAGUC
rnacentral:rRNA from 1 species